rnacentral:rRNA from 1 species
AACGAACGCUGGCGGCAGGCUUAACACAUGCAAGUCGAACGCCCUAGCAAUAGGGAGUGGCGCACGGGUGAGUAACGCGUGGGAAUGUACCGUUUAGUGGGGGAUAACCAAGGGAAACCUUGGCUAAUACCGCAUACGCCCUACGGGGGAAAGAUUCAUCGCUAAACGAUCAGCCCGCGUGAGAUUAGGUAGUUGGUGGGGUAACGGCCUACCAAGCCGACGAUCUCUAGCUGGUCUGAGAGGAUGAUCAGCCACACUGGAACUGAGACACGGUCCAGACUCCUACGGGAGGCAGCAGUGGGGAAUAUUGGACAAUGGGGGCAACCCUGAUCCAGCCAUGCCGCGUGAGUGAUGAAGGCCUUAGGGUUGUAAAGCUCUUUUACCGAUGAAGAUAAUGACGGUAGUCGGAGAAAAAGCCCCGGCUAACUUCGUGCCAGCCGCCGCCGUAA